rnacentral:rRNA from 1 species
AAUCGAACCCGGAGAUAGCUGGUUCUCCUCGAAAUAGCUUUAGGGCUAGCCUCGCAUUAGUUUACCGGAGGUAGAGCACUGAAUGGUCUAGGGGGCCUCACCGCCUACCGAAACCUAUCAAACUGCGAAUGCCGGAUAAAUGAUGUGCGGGAGUCAGGCCGCGAGAGAUAAGUUCCGCGGUCAAAAGGGGAACACCCCAGAUCGUCUGCUAAGGUCCCUAAGUACGCGUUAAGUGGGAAAGGAUGUUGGAUUGCACAGACAACCAGGAUGUUGGCUUAGAAGCAGCCACACAUUCAAAGAGUGCGUAAUAGCUCACUGGUCGAGUGAUCCAGCGCCGAAAAUGUAACGGGGCUAAAACGCGACACCGAAGCAGCGGGAUGCGUAAGCAUCGGUAGAGGAGCAUUGUGUGAGGGUUGAAGCCAGAGCGAGAGCACUGGUGGACUUCACAGAAGAGAGAAUGCCGGUAUGAGUAGCGAGACCCAUGCGAGAAACAUGGGCGUCGAAGGCCCAAGGUUUCCUGGGGAAGGUUCAUCCACCCAGGGUAAGUCGGGACCUAAGCCGAGGACUGAGGUCGUAGGCGAUGGACAGCAGGUAGAGAUUCCUGCACCACUUAUACUUGUUUGACGAAGCAGUGACACAGAAGGAUAGGACGAGCGCGGUGAUGGUCAACCGCGUAGGCGGCACGAGGCCGGGAAGCAGUGAAGUACACUUCCCGCAAAGGCUGAGUGUUGACAGGACCGAAAAGAAGUAGGGAAGCGUCCGAGUUCACGCUGGCGAGAAAAGCUGCUAAGGAGAGUGUGAGUGCCCGUACCGGAAACCGACGCAGGUGGGCGAGGAGAGAAUCCUGAGACGGACGGGAGAACUCUUGUUAAGGAACUCGGCAAAAUGACCCCGUAACUUCGGGAGAAGGGGUGCCUCGAAAGAGGCCGCAGAGAAUAGUCACAAGCGACUGUUUAGCAAAAACACAGGUAUCUGCGAAAGCGAGAGCUGACGUAUAGGUGCUGACGCCUGCCCGGUGCUGGAAGGUUAAGGGGAAGUGUUAGGGGAAACCCGAAGCAGAGAACCGAAGCCCCAGUAAACGGCGGCCGUAACUAUAACGGUCCUAAGGUAGCGAAAUUCCUUGUCGGGUAAGUUCCGACCCGCACGAAUGGCGUAACGACUUGUGAGCUGUCUCAACAGGAGGCCCGGUGAAAUUGAAGUAUGUGUGAAGAUGCACAUUACCCGCGACUGGACGGAAAGACCCCGUAGAGCUUUACUGUAACCUGACAUUGGAUCUUGAUAACGGAUGCACAGGAUAGGUGGGACGCUGGGAGACGAGGACUUUGGUUUUCGUGGAGCGGCCGUUGGGAUACCACUCUUCUGUUAUUGAGAUUCUAACCUCAAGCCGUGAGCCGGAUGAGAGACAGUGUCAGGCGGACAGUUUGACUGGGGCGGUCGCCUCCGAAAGAGUAACGGAGGCGCCCAAAGGUACCCUCAGAAUGGAUGGAAACCAUUCGAAGAGAGCAAAGUCAGAAGGGUGCUUGACUGCGAGACCAACAAGUCGAGCAGGUACGAAAGUAGGGCUUAGUGAUCCGGCGGUAAGAGAGUGGAAUUGCCGUCGCUCAACGGAUAAAAGCUACCUCGGGGAUAACAGGCUGAUCUCCCCCAAGAGUUCACAUCGACGGGGAGGUUUGGCACCUCGAUGUCGGCUCGUCGCAUCCUGGGGCUGAAGCAGGUCCCAAGGGUUUGGCUGUUCGCCAAUUAAAGCGGCACGCGAGCUGGGUUCAGAACGUCGUGAGACAGUUCGGUCCCUAUCCAUCGUGGGCGAAGGACACAUGAGAGGAGCUGCUCCUAGUACGAGAGGACCGGAGUGGACGCAUCACUGGUGCAACUGUUGUCGUGCCAACGGCACAGCAGGGAAGCGAAAUGCGGACGGGAUAAACGCUGAAGGCAUCUAAGCGUGAAGCCCACCUCAAGAAUAAGUGU